rnacentral:rRNA from 1 species
GUAGGUGGCAAGCGUUGCCCGGAAUUAUUGGGCGUAAAGCGCGCGCAGGUGGUUCUUUAAGUCUGAUGUGAAAGCCCCCGGGCUCAACCGGGGAGGGUCAUUGGAAACUGGGGAACUUGAGUGCAGGAGAGGAAAGUGGAAUUCCACGUGUAGCGGUGAAAUGCGUAGAUAUGUGGAGGAACACCAGUGGCGAAGGCGACUUUCUGGCCUGUAACUGACACUGAGGCGCGAAAGCGUGGGGAGCAAACAGGAUUAGAUACCCUGGUAGUCCACGCCGUAAACGAUGAGUGCUAAGUGUUGGGGGGUUUCCGCCCCUCAGUGCUGCAGCUAACGCAUUAAGCACUCCGCCUGGGGAGUACGGUCGCAAAGACUG